UUGGAGGGCAAGUCUGGUGCCAGCAGCCGCGGUAAUUCCAGCUCCAAUAGCGUAUAUUAAAGUUGUUGCAGUUAAAGAGCUCGUAGUUGAACUUCGGGGUUUACCCACUGGUCAGGCUUAAUUGUCUGUACUGGUGAGAUAAAUCUCUACCUUCUGAGGAACUUUCAUGUCAUUAAUUUGGUGUGAUUGGAAAUCAGGACUGUUACUUUGAAAAAAUUAGAGUGUUUAAAGCAGGCUAACGUCUGAAUACAUUAGCAUGGAAUAAUGAAAUAGGACGGAUUGAUUCUAUUUCGUUGGUUUCUAGGAUCACCGUAAUGAUUAAUAGGGAUAGUUGGGGGCAUUAGUAUUCAAUUGUCAGAGGUGAAAUUCUUGGAUUUAUUGAAGACUAACUACUGCGAAAGCAUUUGCCAAGGAUGUUUUCAUUAAUCAAGAACGAAAGUUAGGGGAUCGAAGACGAUCAGAUACCGUCGUAGUCUUAACCAUAAACUAUGCCGACUAGGGAUCGGACGAAGUUAAUUUUAUAAUGACGCGUUCGGCGCCUUACGGGAAAC
rnacentral:rRNA from 1 species